rnacentral:tRNA from 1 species
UAAUAAGAGACUUAGGAUAACACAAGACCAAGAGCCUUCAAAGCUUUAAGUGGGAGUUAAAAUCUCCCAGUCCCUG